AUUGAACGCUGGCGGCAGGCUUAACACAUGCAAGUCGAACGAGGGGCGGACGGGUGAGUAAUGCUUGGGAAUCUCGCUUAUGGAGGGGGAUAACUACGAGAAACUGUAGCUAAUACCGCCUACCAUAGGAUGAGUCCUAGUGGGAUUAGGUAGUUGGUGAGGGAAAGGCUCACCAAGCCGGCGAUCCCUAGCUGGUCUGCGAGGAUGACCAGGAACUCUGGGACUGAGACACGGCCCAGACCCCUACGUGAGGCAGCAGUGGGGCAUAUUGCGCAAUGGGGGCAACCUGACGCAGCCAUGCCGCGUGAAUGAAGAAGGCCUUCGGGUUGUAAAGUUCUUUCGGUAGCGAGGCGUUAACUACCGAAGAAGCACCGGCUAACUCCGUGCCAGCAGCCGCGGUAAUUC
rnacentral:rRNA from 1 species